UUAUAAACCGAAAUUAGCGCCAAGUCUGUAACACCUUAUUGAAGUAUGGACAUGUACAUAAAUCUCUGCCGGGCUUCUAGGUAAUACACCUUAACUUUGUAUGUUACUUUAUUUUCGGGUGAGUAUAUGCAGGUGUUACAAGGAUCAUGUAGGUUAUUCUGUCCAUUACAUAGUCCUACAUCAAGGAGCUGCCUUAACCAUCAAGUGAACGCUUUUUUCGCCUAAUUGUGGGCAACAUAUUACAUGCAAUGUUAUUGCAUAUAUGUUUGAUGUGGCUAAUACCCAUUGUAAUUGUGCUUGUAGCAUGCCCCUGUGGCUAGCACCACUCCUGGAAGAUGCUGGGAGACUGAAGACCGACCGCGCCAGGCGUAAAUUGGCAUACAGGCUAAUACAGCGUCAGCUGGUUCUCUACAGAGUUGGCUGCACCGAUGAAAACCGCCGGCCAACGUACAUAUAUCCAGCCGAGCUAAAAGAGCUGAUUCGUGCCGCCUUCCCAGACAAAAUCCGCAAUUACCCCGACCCAUGUAAUGAAAAGAUAUAUGCAGUCACAUUGGAUGAUCUCCAUAAUGUGAGCCCUGCUAAUCAGAGUGGAUGCGCUGAGGUGGGCCAUUCCGUAUCAUGAGAUCUAAUCAUUUCUCAGAAUAUGCUAGCUUGUGUUGGUGAAACAGUCCAUGCAAAUGAUUAAAGAAAUUUACGAGGUAACCACUUUAUUGUAAUUGAACAGUUGCCAAGGUACUGGUGAGUGUAUUUCAAUACAGUGUCACAAGUGUUCGUGUGCUUAUACAUAUAUGAAUAAAUGAGAUUCAGCCCCUCGCCAUGUUAGCUAGUAGGCUAACUUAUUGUACAGUGGCUGUUUGGGCUAUAGCUAAUGCGAAUUAGUAUAUAUUUUCUUAGAGUGCAUAUCAUAAUGAUUUCAUUGCAACCCCGUAUCAAGGGGGCACACGUUGUUGUUUCCCCAGCCACACAAUUUGAAUUUAAUCAGCGGGUGAUUAUUGUAGUCCAAGUGUAUUUGCAGUUUUUAUACUUCAAACGCCUUUUUUCUUGUAGGUAAAAUUGAUGGUGUUUAUAUAAACAACAUUUUUCUGUUGAC
ensembl:lncRNA